rnacentral:rRNA from 1 species
UACAGAGGUCUCAAGCGUUGUUCGGAUUCAUUGGGCGUAAAGGGUGCGUAGGCGGCGCGGUAAGUCGGGUGUGAAAUCUCGGAGCUUAACUCCAGAACUGCCUUUGAUACUGGCGAUCUUGAGUCCGGGAGAGGUGAGUGGAACUGCGAGUGUAGAGGUGAAAUUCGUAGAUAUUCGCAAGAACACCAGUGGCGAAGGCGGCUCACUGGCCCGGUACUGACGCUGAGGUGCGAAAGCGUGGGGAGCAAACAGG